UCGAGAAUAAUAAAUUUAUGUAUUUGUUCGUUGCAUUGUAACCUUUGAAGAGUGGAUUCGAGUAUUGCAGGCUUGUAGUUGUGGUUGAUGGUGCGCAUUUGAGUGGAGCAUAUAAAGGUACAUUUAUUUCCGCAAGCACUCUUAAUGGAGCAGGUAAUUUAUAUUUAUUUGUAUGUAUAUUUAUUUUUGUGAUGUAAUUCAGAUCAUAAUUUUUUUAAAAUUAUUUUUUUAGUUUGAGAAAUCAUUUACUUGUAUCUGAUUAAUUAUUUUUUUUUUAUUAUCAAAAUUGUAGGACGCAUUCUGCCGAUUGCGUAUGGUGUUGGUGAUAGUGACAACGGUAAUUCACGG
rnacentral:lncRNA from 1 species